CCUACGGGUGGCUGCAGUGAGGAAUAUUGGUCAAUGGACGCAAGUCUGAACCAGCCAUGCCGCGUGCAGGAUGAAGGUGCUACGCAUUGUAAACUGCUUUUAUACGGGGGUAAUUUCAGACACGUGUACCUGGUUGAAUGUACUGUAUGAAUAAGGAUCGGCUAACUCCGUGCCAGCAGCCGCGGUAAUACGGAGGAUCCGAGCGUUAUCCGGAUUUAUUGGGUUUAAAGGGUGCGUAGGCGGUCAGGUAAGUCAGUGGUGAAAGCUCGAUGCUCAACAUCGAAACUGCCUUUGAUACUGGCAGACUUGAGUGUAGUUGCGGUAGGCGGAAUGUGUGGUGUAGCGGUGAAAUGCUUAGAUAUCACGCAGAACUCCGAUUGCGAAGGCAGCAUACCAAGCUGUUACUGACGCUGAGGCACGAAAGCGUGGGGAGCGAACAGGAUUAGAUACCCCGGUAGUC
rnacentral:rRNA from 1 species